AGAGCGAUUAGUAUAAGUGAGUACCUUGGCUUGUCAUGCCAAAAGUGCGUCAAUCUGUGGCGUAUCGCUCUG
rnacentral:tRNA from 1 species